rnacentral:rRNA from 1 species
GACGAACGCUGGCGGCGUGCCUAAUACAUGCAAGUAGAACGCUGAAGGAGGAGCUUGCUUCUCUGGAUGAGUUGCGAACGGGUGAGUAACGCGUAGGUAACCUGCCUGGUAGCGGGGGAUAACUAUUGGAAACGAUAGCUAAUACCGCAUAAUAUUGACUAUUGCAUGAUAGUCAGUUGAAAGGUGCAACUGCACCACUACCAGAUGGACCUGCGUUGUAUUAGCUAGUUGGUGGGGUAAAGGCUCACCAAGGCGACGAUACAUAGCGGACCUGAGAGGGUGAUCGGCCACACUGGAACUGAGACACGGCCCAGACUCCUACGGGAGGCAGCAGUAGGGAAUAUUCGGCAAUGGGCGGAAGUCUGACCGAGCAACGCCGCGUGAGUGAAGAAGGCUUUCGGAUCGUAAAGCUCUGUUGUAAGGGAAGAACAGGUGUGGGAGUAGAAAGCGCUCACUGGAACGGAAUCUUACAAGAAGGGGACGGCUAAUUAGUU